GGAGAAGUGGCAGAGAGGGGAUGCGUCUGGCUUGAAACUAGAAGAGGAAGGUUCAAAUCCUUUUUUCUCUU
rnacentral:tRNA from 1 species